rnacentral:rRNA from 1 species
GAUGAACGCUAGCGGGAGGCUUAACACAUGCAAGUCGAGGGGCAGCAUAGGGUAGCAAUACUCUGAUGGCGACCGGCAAACGGGUGAGUAACGCGUAUGCAACCUACCCUGUACAGGGGGAUAACCCGGAGAAAUUCGGACUAAUAUCCCGUAAUAAUAUCCGGAGGCAUCUUUGGAUAUUUAAAGUUCCGACGGUACGGGAUGGGCAUGCGUAACAUUAGCUGGUUGGUAAGGUAACGGCUUACCAAGGCUAUGAUGUUUAGGGGUCCUGAGAGGGUGGUCCCCCACACUGGUACUGAGACACGGACCAGACUCCUACGGGAGGCAGCAGUGAGGAAUAUUGGUCAAAUGGGCGCAAAGCCUGAACCAGCCAUCCCGCGUGCAGGAAGACGGCCCUAUGGGUUGUAAACUGCUUUUCCAGGGAGAGAAACUUACGCACGUGUUGCGUGACUGACGGUACCCUGGGAAUAAGCAUCGGCUAACUCCGUG